GCCUCCCUGAACUCUGACAGGGGGUGUGGGGAGAAGGGGACAGAGUGUGCAUGAUACCUGAGAUGUGUGGCCCUUGUGUCAGGAGGUGGGGCAAGUAGGUGAAAGGGAGCUACACUUGUGUACACAGCUGAAGAGGUGCCCUCGAGGAUGCUGGAGAUCUCCUGGGCCUGACUACGCAGGUUGUAGUAAUAUAGAAUCAUUUUUUAUUUUUAUUUUUUAGCUUGAGGAAGGAUGGUGUAGGUCAGUGGUGGUCCCCAGUGUCCAUCCAUUUAAUGAAUUUGUGGUGUGUGUGUGUGUUGCUGGGAAUCAAACCCAAGGCCUUGCACAUCCUAGGCAGGUGCUCUGCUCGUGAGCUAAAAGAGAAUGGGUUUUGAGUACCUUGUGACUAGAUGAGACCAAAUGAGGUGAUGGAUGUGGAAAAGGUCCCUUCAUUAUCCAGGCAGAUCCCAGUGGCUGGGGCAUCGGGGGUGGUGGAUGGCAUAAGGGAGAAGCAGCAACAGGCCAUCCAGGCUUAAGACACUUCGCAGCCUCUUUCACACCAGGCCCAGGUGGGAGGCAGUGAGCACAGAGGGGGCCUCCCUCCGGCAGGAUCAUAGCCACAGUAGGGUCAGCGUGGAAGAAGGCACAGGGCAGGAGUGGCACCAGAGGGCACAUUCCAGCUGGGUCCUUUUGUCCGGGCCCCACCUGCCUGCUCUCGUUAACCCCUGUGCGCCUGGUCCCCGCGCUGUCUUCAUCAUUGUCUUCCCGGCCCUCCCCCAGCCCCUGGUGGGAAAGGUCUAAGUGAU
rnacentral:lncRNA from 1 species